rnacentral:lncRNA from 1 species
UUUUUAUUGAGUCUUUCCACUUUUCUGUGGAAAGACUUAUUGUUUUUCUUCUGAUUAUUAUUAGGUCUUUCCACUUUUCUGUGGAAAGACCUAUUGUUUUUCUUCUGAUUAUUUUUUUUUUUUUUUUUUUUUUUCUUCCGCCUAAUUUUGUUCUUGCGAUAAACAUUUGUUUCGCAAUAUGUCGCUUAGAUAUUUUGUAUAUGAUAUCGAACAGUUUAUGCGCUUUUGAAAUUUACCCUGCGUAAACAAAUACUUUUCUUUGUAGGAGUUAUCUCCCCAAACACUGUUUUCCUUGUUAGCGCAUCUCCUUCGCAACCGUAAAAGAUUAUGACAAAUUUAUUUUACAAAAUUGCUAGUUAUAUCCUUCGCAUGAUUUGUCCUAUUUUGACCGAAGCGAUAUGACCGCUCCAUAUGAGAGUUAUUUCCCCUUAUGCAUCUGAUAUAAGUGAUAUGAAUUUCUAUCUUAUAAACCAUAAGUGAUAGAGACCUAGGAUCUUUUGAUUUGAGGUCCUUGGUCCCAAAAAAUGAAAAUUAGGUCAAGGUCAAAGGUCAAGGUCAUAUUCUAAUAUUUGAAUUUGGCUUAUUUUAACUUAUAUCCAAAGACUGUAUAAGAUAUCAACAAAUUAUUUUUACUAAAUUGUUAGUUGCGACAUGUCGUAAGAUGUAAAUUUUUGAUUGCAAGCGUACGUUGAAUGUAAAAGGGAGUUUUCUCCCCUCUUGCAUUUAAAAAUACGCGUUUGGUGAUAUAACUCAUUAACUAAAUAUAAUUAAGACCUAUGGUCUUUUGAUUUGAGGUCCUUGGUUCAUGACCUUGAAAUUGAUCUCAAGGUCAUAGCUUAAUUUGACGUUCUAGAUUUUGA